UGAUGAGUUCUUCUUGAUGAGACCCAC
rnacentral:piRNA from 1 species